rnacentral:rRNA from 1 species
UACGGAGGGUGCGAGCGUUGUCCGGAAUCACUGGGCGUAAAGGGCGCGUAGGCGGCGCGGGCAGUCAACGGUGAAAGCUCGGAGCUCAACUCCGAGUCGGCCAUCGAUACUCCCGUGCUUGAGCACUGUAGAGGCAGGUGGAAUUCCGGGUGUAGCGGUGGAAUGCGUAGAGAUCCGGAAGAACACCGGUGGCGAAGGCGGCCUGCUGGGCAGUAGCUGACGCUGAGGCGCGACAGCGUGGGGAGCAAACGGG